UAUAGCGAAGGGUAGAUGCUGGUCAUUACAUAUAUGUAUAUAUAUAUAUAUAUUUUUUUUUUUCUUCCUUGUGGAGCUGAUUUCAUGAGUGUACAGAUUGGGGUUUUUUUCUAUCUUCCUCGAGGACACAACAGAAAGUGAGCAGAUAUACCUUUCUAUACAAGUAGACGAUACAGGGGGAAAAGAAGAGAACAUUUGUCCUUGCUGAGACUACAGCUGUGCAUGCCCCAUGUAGACCCACCACCGCAGAUGUUUCCUCAGGAGAAAAAGAAGUCAGCUACCCAGGAAGGGUGACCUCUGCCCUUCCCUGCCUCUUGCUGUCUGUCACCUUCACUGGGAACUCACUAAGCUUUGCUCUGCAGGAAGCACAAUUAAAUGCUAACAUCUCCAUUGCACUCCCAUCAGGCUCACUUUCUAGCUUGAUCUCUGACCUGUCUUGUCACCACAAACUUACCUGGUGAUCUGUUGUCCUGGCUGAGCCUGGCUGCCUUCCCCUGGGUACUGUGGGGCUGGGCUUCUGGCUCUCUGACCAGCUGAACCUUGCUGUGCCCUGUUGUUUUGGAUGUCACCUGUUUUCUCUCUGUAACAACAGAAGGAGACAGGUCUGUUUUGCUUCCUGGACAACUGUCAUCAGCUAUCAUGAAGGAUGUUCUUGGCAAGUAGAAAAAAAGUGAAAGGUUGAAGAAGAGGAAGCCUGCUGGGAAGGAUUUUGAUUGGAAGUCUAUUACUAACGCCUCAGAUUCCUCUGUACAGCUUGAGAACUUCUCACAUCUUUCAGCUUAUUGCGAACAACCCAAAAG